CAACCCGAGUUUGGACGCAGCUACAGCACCAUGGACAGCCCCAGGUGGCUGCUGCUCGCCGCCGGCUGCUGGCUGCUGCUGCUGCCGCCCGGGGACUGGGGGCUGGAGACCAGGGCACUCCGCAGCUUUUACCCCCAGGAGCGCCCUCCAUCCAGCGAGAAGGAGCUGCUCGGGGCUUUGCAGGAGGCUCUGGAGAAGCUGCAGAAAAAGCGGAUUCCACCCUGGGGCAAGAAACUGGGACAAGUGCCAGCGUGCGACGUGGGGGAGCUAUGCGCCGUCAGAAAAGCCUCCCGAAUUGGAAAGCUGUGCAACUGCCCCAGAGGCGCCACCUGCAACUUUUUCCUGCUGAAAUGCUUGUAAACCUCAAUACCUCCAAGAGCUAAGAUAACAAAAGAAACCAAAUCCUGUUGAACUGUGCUUGACACGCACUGCUUUGUCUUUGUUGUUGUGUUUUUUUCUAUGUAGUCAAUAAUCUACCCAUGUAAAAUACUUAUCUCCUUUGUAAAAUAUUUCUUCUCCCUCUGUAUUUGUCCUCAGAUUAGGAAUGAAGACCACAGAGACAACCCCCCAACUUGAAGCAAAUAUCACCAGCCACCACACACCACUGAACAAAAACACUGACCCAGGAACCUAUCCUUGCAACAAAGCGCGAUGCCAACUCUGUCCACAUAUCUAUUCAAGUGACAUCAUCAUAGGACCUAAUCACAUCAGCCAUGCCAUCAGGGGCUCGUUCACCUGCACAUCUACCAAUGUGAUAUAUGCCAUCAUGUGCCAGCAAUGCCCCUCUGCCAUGUACAUUGGCCAAACCGGACAGUCUCUACGCAAAAGAAUAAAUGGACACAAAUCUGACAUCUGGAAUCAUAACAUUCAAAAACCAGUAGAGAACACUUUAACCUGUCUGGUCACUCAAUAACAGACCUGAGGGUGGCAAUUUUGCAACAGAAAACUUCAAAAACACUCCAACGAGAAACUGCUGAACUUGAAUUGAUUUGCAAACUAGAUACAAUCAAUUUAGGCUUGAAUAGAGACUGGGAAUGGCUGAGCAAUUAAAAAAAUAGAAUCAAUCACCCCAUGUAAGUAUUCUCACACUUCUUAUCAAACUGUCUGUACUGGGCUAUCUUGAUUAUCACUUCAAAAGUUUUUUUUUUCUCUUACUUAAUUGGCCUCUCAGACUUGGUAAGACAGCUCCCACCUUUUCAUGCUCUCUGUAUGUGUAUAUAUAUCUCCUCAAUAUAUGUUCCCUUCUAUGCAUCCGAAGUAGUUGGCGGUAGCCCACGAAAGCUUAUGCUCAAAUAAAUUUGUUAGUCUCUAAGGUGCCAAAAAUGAUUAGGGGGCUGGAGCACAUGACUUAUGAGGAGAGGCUGAGGGAACUGGGAUUGUUUAGUCUGCAGAAGAGAAGAAUGAGGGGGGAUUUGAUAGCUGCUUUCAACUACCUGAAAGGGGGUUCCAAAGAGGAUGGAUCUAGACUGUUCUCAGUGGUACCAGAUGACAGAACAAGGAGUAAUGGUCUCAAGUUGC